UGAGAAGUCUGCUUUGGGUCAGGCUUACCCUGUGUUGGGCAGGUGCUUGGUGUCCAGUUCGAUUCCUGGCUGGGUUGGGGCUGGGGGUAAUGGAGAUGGUUCUGUUGGUGUCAUCUCUCUAGGAAGCAGUUAGGGUACAGCUGCACGUGUGCACCUCCUUUUCUCACUUGUCUCUGUUAAGACAGGGGUCUGCUUUCUCACGUCCCUGGCAUGGGAAUUGUACACAUAUAAUUUUUUGGCUCCAGAUGCCUGAACACAUAAUUGCUGCCACUGUCAGUGGUGCAGGAGGUAGCAGCAGAGAUGGGCUUUCGCUGCUUCUAGGAGAAAGUGGUUUGUACUAUGCCUGCCUUUUAGUCAUAUAUUCAUUUCUACUGUUCUGUUUCAGUCUUCCUUGUUCUCUUUGCAGUAUUCCCUUUAUUCUAGGAACCAGGGUGUAACUGCUUUCCUCUGGGAUACAAUUUUCUUAUAUGGAAACAUUGGUGAACUGUUGACGUUUUGAUUUUAUACAAAGACUUCUGGUUUCAUAACUUCUGAUUGCUGAUCAAAGUUUUGACAUACGAUGUGUAAAUGAUGGGUUAAUUUGUGACUGAGUUGAUUUAAUAUUUUGGAUUUGUUGCCUUCUCUGCUGCCUGUGUCAUAAAGAGAGGGAGAAGGCUGAUGCUAGAAUGCAAAAGGAGAUCUCUUUGCUCAGUGUGUUUUUCACUAGACUUGCACCCCAGUCAAGGUUCAUAAUUCGGCUGAACCACUGAGGCUGGUAGAGAUCCAGAUCUAUCAGCAGCAAUCAUGAUAAAAUUUUCAAUGUGCUUUGUACUGUACAGAGAUCUAAUUUGAGAUUCCUGUAACCCAGUAAUUGCACUAAUAUUGAACUCAGUGAUGCACGACAAGAGGAUAUGCUUCUAUAUCUUAAAAGAGCACAUCUAUACACUGCUCUAGUUUUUAAGUUUUAGCUCUGUGGAGAAGGAAGUGCACAGAGGACCAGUGACUUCCAGUUGUUUUCAGGACUUAGGUCUGAAGGUGCAGAGAAUGCUUAUUUAUAAUCACAGGAACCAUUAAUGUCAAUAAGGAACAAACCCAGAAUUAUUUGGUCAGCUGAAGGUCAUUAAUUCCCAGUGGUAGUAGUUCUGGUCCCCAGAUAAUGUUAUGCAUAUUUCCUCUCUCCUCUGUCUCUAAACAAGCUGGCUGCACAACUGUAGGCAGCAGGAGAAAGGAUUAGUCCUGCCCCGUUCCCUGCCCUUCGGGACUGAAUUUUCAACUGGGGGAACUUGUGUGAAUGGCGAACUGUAGAUACUUACUCCCCGGGUCUGCAGUUUAGAAAUGGAAGGCUUUAAGCAGCGUGACCUUCCUUUUCAGAAUAACCAAGGCCUGUGUUCCUUCUACAGAACAUCUCGGUUGUCUGCAUUCUGUAUGAUUUUAUUGACUCGCAUUCCAAAGAUCAGAUUUGCAAGAUAGUCUAGCAGUUGUUGUGUUCAAAGCUCUUGCGCCUGAAGAAUUAUCCCUAAGUAUUAUGAAUGUCCUUUAAAACUUAUCUUGAAUGCCUCAGAAGUGCCAAAAUACAGAAAACAAGAAAUUUGUCUUGCCCUGUGCCAGAAGGAAAGCAAAUAGCCAGUAUGAGUGGCUUUGUGUAAGAGAAGAGUGUAGGUAUUCCUGGCUGACAGACCUGCCACAAAUGUACAAACAGGAGAUACGGAGCAAAACACAAUUGGACCAGCAUCUAUCAGAAGAGGUGACAUUGGCUACUGGCAGUGUACUUUCUGUCACUUGGCUUCGGCUCUUGUGAAACAUGAUGGGUUGAAGCCUAUGAUAAAGAUAAAACAGUAUAAACUGCUCUUCAACUUGUUUGGGCUUAGGCAUGUUUUUUUUUGGUUGACUAGAUAUAGGAAAUUGAGCUUGUAUUGGUCACGUAGCAGCAGCUGUAAAAAUAUAACAGUUAAUGCAAUGAUCAGUUCUGCCUAUGACCUUAAUUACAGAUAGAUUAGUUUGCUUUUUUUUUUUUACAAUCCCGUACUAUAUUUUUUUUCUCUCUUUUCCUUUAGCUUGUCUCAUUCAGUGAUUUGUACGAAGAGUAAAGCUUUUCUAGUAAUAAAAACAACAAAGCAACAUUUUAACUUUUAAAAUAUAUCUAUGUAUUUAUAUUUGUUUAAAUUUCUGUCCCUGCAAAUGGAGGAAAAAAGCUGUUGCAAAAUAGGUGGGUUUUUUAAACUUUGAAAGUGGAUGGAUGCCAUUAAGAGUCAAGACACGAUUGUUAUUUACCUUGUACAAGUCUAACGUUUCUGGUUGCUCAAGAGGAUCAAAGAAUGAUUUGGACAGGAGAGAUGCUGUUAGAGGCGCUGUCUGAAACAAUUUUAAAACCUUUGCAAAAUCAUCACAUAUUGGGGCAAUGUGACUGUCAAAGUUUGUUAAGGAAAGAUAAUUUUUGCCUGAGCAUCUUAUGGAUGCAGAUGAGUAAGUAGGAAAAAAAUAGAAAACUGCUUUGAAUAAUAAAUUACACCACUCACAUAUGUUCCUCACUUGCCAGCUAUUUUUUCAUCUGUGAUGCCAGUUUGUAACAUUUCCAGUAACUUUAUUGUUAUGGAGAAAUUGGAUCUCCACUUCAAUAUAUCAUUUAUUCUUUAAUAUUUAUUCUAGAAGGGAUAAAUAAAUGUAAUUGUUACUGUGUUAGACUUUUUUUAUCUCUUUGCAAGAUGUUGGAGUGGAGUAUUGGAGCUGAUUAAAAUUAGUAGAGUAAAGCUGAUCUUAAUACUUGCCCAGAUCUUCACAUGUGCAAGACUCUUGUGUUGGCAGGAUAUUACUUUGUCAGUUGUUAAUUCAGGGGACUAAAAUACGUAUUACAUAGCUUGCUUAUUUUUGUGGGAAAGCAUAUGCUGAUAUUGCUGCUAUCUUUGGUUAGUGUGAGAAUUUCUUAAUCUUACUAGCCCUUGUUUGAAUUCUAAAAUCUAAACCAUGAAUGAGUUAAUAAAAAUACAUUCAGAUUCCCCUAAAAAAUUCCUUUUGGCAUUUAUAUUUAGCUUUGUUUAUAGAUACACUAUUUUUACUCAUUAAAACAUUUAUCUUAUAAUAAAAGUCUUUCAUAUAUAUGCCAAAAGCAUUCUAUGUAUUACUAACUCGUGGAAGAAAAAAUGAUGCAUAAAACGACAUGAAAAACAGUUACAAGAGGCGUUCAUGGUUACUUCCUCUCUGGAGAAUAGAUUGUUGAGUGCUAUUUAUAUACCUAAACAAGCAAUAAUCUUAACAAUUCACGCUAGUGAACUACUGUAGCUGUCCAUGAUAUUUAUCUACAGACUGAUCCUUUUUUUUUCUUUUUUUCUUGAAGCUUGGUGAUAUUAGAGGUCACAGUAGAAAGUGAAGUGAAAUGGGACCUUGAAGCGCUUCCAUUAAAUUGCUUAAUAACCUUAAGAAAAUUACUCAGUUUCUUUUGCUUGCUUUAGGACUGUGUAGGGCUAACUCUUAAAGGCCUGAGAUGGUGCAGACUUCAUGUGUUCAUUGAAGAUGCUUUGGAAAGGUUUGUAAACAUUAUUAGAGCUGAAUGCUCUUCAGAUUGUUUCAGUAUUCCAAAUUAUUUGGAGCAAGUAGGGUAUCUUCUCCAGCUGGUUUCUAUUCUUACUUGAGGUUUUGUUGAGUUUGUUGGGAGUUAUUUUGGUUUUUAUUUCACUUUAUUUUCAUUCUUCUGUCACUGAUGUGAAAUGGUAACCUGGCACAAAACACUGGCUUUUUUUUAGCCUACUUUCAAGACUAACAGAAAUGUACUGCAUGCAAAUCCUUUUUUCUUUUUUAACUAUAAAUUCCUCCAAAAAGUAAUUUUCUUCACAAAAAAAUAAUCCUGAAGCUAAAAGCCUUUUUCUGAGUUUCAGUGUUUUCAAAAUAAAAUUUUGUCCUACUGAUCUGUUUUGUAAAAAUAAGUUGUGUUCUUAUAUUCCAGUUAGUCACAACUGUAUGCAGCAGUGAAACUAUGCUUUAAUUAGCCAUAUCUUGAAGGUUAUACAGAUCAGUUUAGCCUAUUUAAUUGUUUUAGCCUAUUGAAUAUUUGUAAAUCCAGUAAAUGAGAGACAUGAAGAAAAAAAAAAACAUCACUGAUUCACACUACUUAAAUUGGGUUUAAAUGUCAAGUUGACGAUGUGGAAUUACAUUAAAGCAAUUCAGUUUUUCAGAUGAAGUAGGUAGUCUGCUACUGGUGAAGUUUCCAAGAUUUUCACCUUGGUCAGCUGGUAGGUCUUAUUAAAGCAGUAGUAGUUUGCUUCUAAUUACACCUUAGGGGUUGGCUGAUGAUGAGAGACUCUAGAAUUAGACUUAAUGGUAGUUUUGUAAUCGGUUUGGGCUUUAUUAAUAACUAUAUCAGGGUCUUGAGUUUGUUUCUACUUCAACAAACAAAUGGAAGUACAAAGCUGUUAAAGGAGGACACUGGAGCCUGAGCUUGCUCUAGCAGUGGUGCCUGUGAGCUGCUGGUGGAGUUUCACCAACGUGACUGCGUGAUCUGGAGUAAGUAAGUGGAAAACCAAAGAUGAAGUAGAAAUUGGAAGAAAGGUUUUCUGUCCAAGUGUUGAGCAACUGGGCAGUGACAGAGGGGCUGUUGGUUCUGACCUGGGGCUUCUAUCUGUAUGGCUGUGGGCGCUGCGGUGUUUGCCUGAGGUUUCUUCAGAGCCUGCUCUCUGACGCUGUGGCGCGGUAUCAUCUUUCUGUGAUGGACUUACUGUUGGUGUGAGAUCCGAUCCUUCUGGUCCAAAUGCAAACUGCUGUAUACUAACAGCCAUUUAUCUUUCUUUUUGAGGAGUGGCAUAUCCGAAAAGUGGAUGUUCAGGAUAACAUGUCCAAUGUGUCAGAAGAGAGGAGCACUAGACAACAGGACAUUAAGAAAGGACUCCAGUUUAUAGAAUCUACUUUGCCCUAUCCAGGGACGCAAGAACAGUAUGAGUUAUUUAUACGAGAGCUUGUUAGAAAUCUUUUUAAUGAAGGGAAUGAUGUAUAUCGAGAAGGUGAUUGGAGAGGAUCACUGAGUCACUAUACAGAAGCUAUAAAUAUAGCUGAUUAUGCUAAUUCUGAAGAAAUCCAUGUUUCUGAUGAUAUUUUAGAGAAGCUGCAUGUGAACAGGAUAGCAUGUUUUUCAAAUAUGGGAUUGCAUGAAAAAGUUCUAGAAGACUGUGAAAUAGCAUUAAGAUUAAACGAAAACAAUUUCAGAGCUCUCUAUCGGAAAGCAAAAGCUUUGAACGAACUGGGAAGGUAUAAGACGGCUUAUGAUGCUGUAGCAAAAUGUUCUCUUGCUGUGCCACAGGAUGAAAGUGUGAUUAAGCUUACCCAAGAACUAGCUCAGAAACUAGGGUUAAAAAUAAGGAAAGCAUAUGUAAGAGCAAAGCCACCCUCCUCAAACUCAGUUUCUAGUGAUGUAUCAACUCAGAAUUCUUCUUCUUCUUCUGUAGAAGAUAUUGAGUUAGAUUUGUCUGACCAGAAGCAAGAAAUGGUUUCUGCUGCUUCUUCAUCAAACUUUGUUUCUGAAGUGUCUAAAGUGUCAUCAGUACCUGUACCAUCUUUAUCUUCUGUUAUGCCUCUUCAAGUGGAAAAGGUUUCUUUGCCCUCUGCAGUGUUGGCAAAUGGAGGGAAUGUUUCUUUCUCUAUGCCAGAAGCAUGUCUAGAUUGUGGAGAUGGAGACAUAAUUAUUGGUGAAGAACUUGAUGAAUUACUUGAUUCUGUGCCUGAUCCAGAGGAGAGUGUAAUGCAAACUACAGGAGCCAGAGGACCUAUUCCUGCAGGAAGCGUAGCUCCUAGUGUACCUUUCUCUGCCUCUUUGCUGGGGACACUGCCAGUUAGUGCAGGAUUUGUUCCUUCACCUUCUCUUUCAGAAAUCUUUUCACAGCCUUUGGCUUCUUCACUGGAGAAUUUUUGUUCACCAUUAAGCACCUUUUCAAUCAGUGAGCCCAAAAGAGACCUCUCAAGUUCAGCUUCUAGGGAUGGAACACCAACACUUAGCAGCAAUAAUUCCCCGUUGUUUAUAAAUGGCCCUAGUAGUUUGUUUGGGUCCGAAAAUUACAUGGGAAUUGCAGGCCAAACUAGAAAUGACUUUUCAAAUGUUUUUAGCAGUGCAACUGCUAAUUCACCUGUAUCUUCAGCACUUGUGGGAAGAAACCCAUUAGAAGGCACACAUGAGCUGCGACAGGCCUGCCAGUUAUGUUUUGUCAAAAAAGGUCCUAAGUUAUUGGAUUACGCUUACCAUCCCAAUUUAGAGCAUAAAUGUAAGAAAGAUAUUCUAAUUGGUAGAAUAAAAAACUCGGAAGAUAAAUCAUGGAAAAAAAUACGACCAAGACCAACAAAGACACAAUAUGUGGGACCAUAUUAUAUUUGUAAAGAUGUUGCUGCUGAAGAAGAAUGCAGAUAUCCAGGUCACUGCACGUUUGCGUAUUGCCAAGAGGAGAUAGAUGUGUGGACACUGGAGCGCAAAGGAGCCUUUAGUCGAGAAGCUCUUUUUGGAGGAAAUGGAAAGAUCAACUUGACUGUGUCUCGACUCCUUCAAGAACAUCAUGGAUUAUUUAUGUUUCUUUGUGAGAAAUGUUUUGAUCACAAACCCAGAAUAAUAAGCAAAAGGAACAAAGAUAACUCAUCUUCUUGUUCUCACCCUGCUAUGCAUGACUUUGAAGAUAACAAGUGCCUUGUCCACAUUUUGCGAGAAACUAUGGUGAAAUAUUCCAAAAUCCGCCCUUUUCAAGUUAGAUGCCAGCUUGACCUGUGCAGACAUGAGGUGCAUUAUGGCUGCUUACGAGAGGAUAAAUGCUUUUAUGCUCACAGCCUGGUAGAGCUUAAAGUCUGGAUAAUGCAGAAGGAAACAGGUAUUUCACAUGAUACUAUUGUUCAAGAAUCAAAGAAAUACUGGCAGAACAUGGAAGCUAGUGCACAUGGGUCACAGAUCCUUGGGAACCAAAUGAAAUAUGGAUCACUUAAUUUGAAGAUGAAGUUUGUUUGUGGUCAGUGCUGGAGAAAUGGUCAAGUUAAUGAGCCAGACAGAAACAAAAAAUACUGUAGUGCAAAGGCAAGACACCCAUGGACCAAAGAUCGUCGUGUGGUGCUAGUAAUGUCUAAUGAACGUAAGAAGUGGAUGACCAUUCGUCCUCUUCCCGCAAAGAAACAAGUGCCUCUGCAAUUUGAUUUGUGCAAUCAUAUUGCUUCAGGCAAGAAAUGUCAGUAUGAUGGAAACUGCUCAUUUGCUCACAGUCCUGAGGAAAGAGAGAUGUGGACCUAUAUGAAGGAGAACAGCACUUCUGCUCUCAUUAGUUCAAGACUUGGAGCAGUUGUAUGACAUAUGGCUAAAAAGUCAAAAGCCAGAAAAAGGAGAUGACGCAGCUGCUCAGGCAAACAAAGAAAAUGGGAAGCAAAUUCACAUGCCGACUGACUAUGCUGAAGUUACAGUGGAUUUUCACUGUUGGAUGUGCGGGAAGAACUGUAAUAGUGAGAAGCAAUGGCAGGGUCACAUUUCUUCCGAAAAACAUAAAGAGAAGGUUUUCCACACUGAAGAUGAUCAAAACUGCUGGCAGUAUCGCUUUCCAACUGGAUAUUUUAGCAUUUGUGAUAGAUAUAUGGCUGGUACUUGCACUGAAGGGAACAACUGUAAAUUUGCCCAUGGAAACGCUGAACUCCAUGAGUGGGAAGAACGACGACAAGUUUUAAGAAUGAAGCUCAGCAAAGCAAGAAAAGACCACUUGAUUGCUCCCAGUGAUAAUGACUUUGGAAAAUAUAGUUUUUUGUUUAAAGAUUUAAACUAAUACUGAGGUGACACAUACAUGUUAUCAGCUGGAAGCAUAAACCAGAAAAUUUGACAAUAAUCAAAAGCAUGUGACAGAAAAGCUGCAGGUUUUCUGCUUUUAUUGGCAUAUAUUGUUCCCCCUGAACAGC